rnacentral:rRNA from 1 species
UACGAAGGGUGCAAGCGUUAGUCGGAAUUACUGGGCGUAAAGCGUGCGUAGGCGGUCUCUUAAGUCCGUUGUGAAAGCCCUGGGCUCAACCUGGGAACUGCAGUGGAUACUGAGAAGCUAGAGUGUGUCAGAGGAUGGUGGAAUUCCCGGUGUAGCGGUGAAAUGCGUAGAGAUCGGGAGGAACACCCAUGGCGAAGGCAGCUCUCUGGGACGGUACUGACGCUGAGACGCGAAAGCGUGGGGAGCGAACAGG